rnacentral:rRNA from 1 species
ACUGCUAUCGGUGUUCGCCUAAGCCAUGCGAGUCAUAUGUUCUUCGUGAACAUGGCGUACUGCUCAGUAACACGUGGAUAACCUGCCCUUGGGUCCGGCAUAACCCCGGGAAACUGGGGAUAAUUCCGGAUAACGCAUAUUUGCUGGAAUGCUUUAUGCGUCAAAUGGAUUCGUCUGCCCAAGGAUGGGUCUGCGGCCUAUCAGGUAGUAGUGGGUGUAAUGUACCUACUAGCCGACAACGGGUACGGGUUGUGAGAGCAAGAGCCCGGAGAUGGAUUCUGAGACAUGAAUCCAGGCCCUACGGGGCGCAGCAGGCGCGAAAACUUUACAAUGCGGGAAACCGUGAUAAGGGGACACCGAGUGCCAGCAUCAUAUGCUGGCUGUCCAGGUGUGUAAAAUACACCUGUUAGCAAGGGCCGGGCAAGACCGGUGCCAGCCGCCGCGGUAACACCGGCGGCCCGAGUGGUGAUCGUGAUUAUUGGGUCUAAAGGGUCCGUAGCCGGUUUG